GGAGGGAUCAUUACUGAGUUUACGCUCUACAACCCUUUGUGAACAUACCUAUAACUGUUGCUUCGGCGGGUAGGGUCUCCGCGACCCUCCCGGCCUCCCGCCUCCGGGCGGGUCGGCGCCCGCCGGAGGAUAACCAAACUCUGAUUUAACGACGUUUCUUCUGAGUGGUACAAGCAAAUAAUCAAAACUUUUAACAACGGAUCUCUUGGUUCUGGCAUCGAUGAAGAACGCAGCGAAAUGCGAUAAGUAAUGUGAAUUGCAGAAUUCAGUGAAUCAUCGAAUCUUUGAACGCACAUUGCGCCCGCCAGCAUUCUGGCGGGCAUGCCUGUUCGAGCGUCAUUUCAACCCUCAAGCUCUGCUUGGUGUUGGGGCCCUACAGCCGAUGUAGGCCCUCAAAGGUAGUGGCGGACCCUCCCGGAGCCUCCUUUGCGUAGUAACUUUACGUCUCGCACUGGGAUCCGGAGGGACUCUUGCCGUAAAACCCCCCAAUUUUCCAAAGGUUGACCUCGGAUCAGGUAGGAAUACCCGCUGAACUUAAGCA
rnacentral:rRNA from 1 species